rnacentral:rRNA from 1 species
GACGUAGGGCGCGAGCGCUGUCCGGAUUUAUUGGGCGUAAAGAGCUCGUAGGCGGCUUGUCGCGUCGUUCGUGAAAACCUGGGGCUCAACCCCAGGCUUGCGGGCGAUACGGGCAGGCUAGAGUUCGGUAGGGGGAGACUGGAAUUCCUGGUGUAGCGGUGAAAUGCGCAGAUAUCAGGAGGAACACCGAUGGCGAAGGCAGGUCUCUGGGCAUUAACUGACGCUGAGGAGCGAAAGCAUGGGGAGCGAACAGG